GGGGCAAUGACACCAGGAUGUGCCUUUCUGAACACUCUUCCCAAGGUCUACAGAUGAGCAAGGGAGGGUCAGAAGGUGCCCUGGGGACUCACCUGCUUAUUGGAUCCUGGAACUCCUUGCCAGGCCCCCAACUGUGUCUUUUGAAGGAGUCAGUAGUGUAACUGCGGGCACGGAAAGCCCCGGACCUUCUAAGGAGUGAUGUGUGGAAGCCAUCCUUGUUGUCUUCCUGGUUUUCCUCCCUCCCCUCCACUUCCUCCAGCUGUUCUCUGGAUUCCACAGCAGCUGGGCAGCACUGAGGGAGACCAUGAGGCACUGGGUCUUCACCUAUGAAGGGCUCCCCUGGGACCGAUCUGUUCAUGGAAGGUACUCGGAGACAGCCCUGAAUCAAGAAGAAAGAGUGAAGAGAGCCUGGCUGGCAGAGGCGGCACAUGUCUGCAGUCUCAGCACUUAGGAGGCAGACGGGAAAAUCCAGAGUUCAAGGCCACUGUGCGCACUAAAGCAAGUUGAAAGCUAAAGGACACAGUGAAACCUUGUUUCAGAAUGAAAACUAUAAAGAGAAGUUCUUGUUUGCUCAUUAAUAUCCCUCAUGGAGCAUCUAUAUUGAAAACAGCCAUGCUAAGAAAAGCAGAUACUGCAGAUACUGAGUCUGUCCUUAUAGUUGUGUGUGUGUGUGUGUGUGUGCGCGCAUGCACACAUAACUGUCAAAUGCUGCAAGAGAAAUUUUAUCAAAUCUUUGGCCAGGAAGAGUAAGGCAGUGCACAAGUUUAGAUCCAGCCCUCAGGAGGCAGAGGCAAACCUCUGGGCCUUCAAGAAGAGCCUGAUCUACAUAGUAAGUUCCAGGACAGACAACAAACAAACAAAAAAACAGACCCAAAACCAACAACACAGCAAAAAUAAAAACAAAGACAAAAACAAAAAAAACUUUUGUCUACCAGUGGGCCAGCACACAUUACUAACUGGGAGUCUCCAGAAAGCAAAACAGGAGAUGCAGGCUGACUUUGAGUGGGGCUAGAGUCAGGCCAAGAGAAGAGAAAAGCUACUAGGUUGGUAAUGUAAUGGGAAAAGGUCCUUAUGUGGGCCUGGUGAAGUGGCUUGGUGGGUAAAGGCACUUGUCUGCAAGCCUGACUCCCUGAGUUCAAUGCCUGGAUCCUACAGUGGACGCAGGGAACAGACUCCCGAAUGUCCUCUGACCUCCACGCAUGUGCUGUGGAACGGUGCUCAAACAAGUGGCUCCUUUAUUAUUAUUUAUGCAUGUGUGGCUCAGCGUACUUAAGGAGGUCAGAGGACACCUUCCAGGAGUUGGCUCUCUCUUUGUUCUCUCCAUUGCUCCCUCCCACCUUCCCCAGACCGCUUUCCUCAGGAAAUGGCUGAAGAAACAAGGAAGUAGACAAUGAGGUCACAUCUCUGUUUCCGGUGACACACAUAGGAGAUUCUAAAACAGGCGCUUGAAAUGAAGUAACAGGGCAGGAAAAAACACUAAGCUGUCCCUUGAUUUAUCUUCCUGACCCCUUACUGCCCUGGACUGUCUCCACCUCUCUGGUGACUUCAUUGACUAAGCUGCUGACCAAUGACUAACAACUAGGGGGAGAACUUUAAAUGUAUGCAGCAGGGGGCGCUGUCGCUCAAAGCCAACCCCAUGCUUCUUUCAGGUGUAACUGUGGUUUAAUUGGGUUUACAAGUACAACCUUCCUAAGCAGGAAUGGUCUUGGGCUUCUGUUACUGCCUCCUCCUCCUCUUUCUCUUCUCACUUUUGUCUUAGAAAAUACAAGAAUGGCAUUCCUCACUGUGGUG
rnacentral:lncRNA from 1 species